GUGAACAUUGGAAGAUAACCCUCAGUUUUAACUUGAUUUUAGAAGCUUUGACCAUUACAAAGUUAAAGCACAACAGUAGACAACUUUUUGUUGUGCU